AAUCGUAGACAAGUCGGAUGUCGGCAAAAAGAAUAAUGCGAAAAUGAACGUUACGCCCGCGUGGAGCUAUAAUCACGGUACAUGCAGCGCGACCGGUGGUUGAACCGCGUGGCCGCAUCGUUCGAAUCGUUCUUGUGGAGUCGUACGCCGCGCUGGCGCUUUGGCAAUUAAUCACCGUCGGUAAUAUUUACCGGCCAAUAUACAAUACGAAAAUAAACAACCAUAAUGACACGCGAAAAUUAAUAUGAAUACUGAUUAUGGGUUA